rnacentral:lncRNA from 1 species
CUAAAUGUUUUACUCUGUAAGGCUCUGGUUUGUGUGCCAGCUGCGUGGUAUAUCUACACUUUACAGAGGAAAGGGUGGAAGCCUCUUCGUGGGAUCUGAAUUUAUGGAUCAGCACAGUGUCAUGUCUCCAGCUUCCUCCCUGCAUAUCUUGUUUUUCCACAAGAUGCCGACAAAUCUUGUCAAUCUGCAGGAAGAUGCACAUUCAUCUAGGCAGCUUUCAAUCGUCAGCAGCAAUCUAAAUUGCCCCAGUGGCAGUUUUGAGCCAUGAAGGACUCAUAAGAUUGUUCAAAAAUGCUAGAAUUUUCAACAGAAGCAGCAUGCCAUUUGGAAAAAUCUACAAGAAUGUUCACUUCAUCAGAAGGUUGUUUUGGAGAGCACUGCAGGUUGUCUCAGAGGUGCGAUGCGGUGCGAUGUCCUUUGGUGCAUUCAGGACAUUACCACAGUUGUUGAGGCAAGUGAAUGUUGAGGAGAAUAGUCUGGCUGAUAUGUCAGCUCUAUCACUUCUGGACAAACAAGCCUUUAGAUUCUCCUUUCAGUCCUUACCAGGCACGUUCAAAGCUACUCUGGACAUGGAGGAAAUAGGAUGCUCCUCCAGUAGCCAUUUUAAUGUGGUGGAAAAGGAAAGAAAAGAGCUGCAUUCAGCUUUGCAUCCAGAAACUCUCCUUAAAAAGUAUACAAAUAAAGCGAAACCCUUCAUAUGUGAAAACAACUUGGGAUUCCUUCUGACCAAAUCAGCAUACUGCACUGGUGCAAAGGCUACUUUGGACUAGCUGGUGUUUGGAUUGCAUUGUCCUGGCAUGAACCUUCCUCAUGCUUUUCUCCCAGCUUGUCCUGCUCCCCGGUUGUUUAAUGUGGGUAUGAGAAGUCUCCUUUCGCUGUCAAGAGUAAGCAGCUCUGGGGUGGGCUGUGCCAGCCAUUGUCCCACUAAAUAAAAUCCUUUCCAGGGGGAUGACA